UUUUAUAAUUAACCAUUGAUAUGUCUCAGAGCCCCUUUUUGUUUAUUGUAGUUUAACUUUUUAGGUUGAAUGACAAUAUCAGAAUGAAAACUGGAGAAAUUGCAAGAAAGACUUUAAUAAUACAAAGUUAAUUUGCAGCCGAGUGCGAUAAGUGAAAUUUUUUCUGUGUGAUUCCGAGGUACUCUGGAACACACGAGGUUCCAGAGUACCUCGAAAUCAUGGGCAAAAAACAUAUCGUAAAGGUUCAACGACUAAUGGGUGAGUAUUCACAACAAUAAUCCCGACACGAAUUUCCAGCGCUGGUAAAUUGUAUUUACUGGUGAUGACAUAGUCUGAACAGUAGUGUGAACUACUG
rnacentral:ncRNA from 1 species